rnacentral:rRNA from 1 species
UAAGGGGGGAGCAAGCGUUGUUCGGAUUUACUGGGCGUAAAGGGCGCGUAGGCGGCCACCGCAAGUCGACUGUGAAAUCUCCGGGCUUAACCCGGAAAGGUCAGCCGAUACUGCGGGGCUAGAGUGCAGAAGGGGCAACUGGAAUUCUCGGUGUAGCGGUGAAAUGCGUAGAUAUCGAGAGGAACACCUGCGGCGAAGGCGGGUUGCUGGGCUGACACUGACGCUGAGGCGCGAAAGCUAGGGGAGCGAACGGG